rnacentral:rRNA from 1 species
GAUGAACGCUGGCGGCGUGCCUAAUACAUGCAAGUCGAGCGAACGGACGAGAAGCUUGCUUUUCUGAUGUUAGCGGCGGACGGGUGAGUAACACGUGGAUAACCUACCUAUAAGACUGGGAUAACUUCGGGAAACCGGAGCUAAUACCGGAUAAUAUUUUGAACCGCAUGGUUCAAACGUGAAAGACGGUCUUGCUGUCACUUAUAGAUGGAUCCGCGCUGCAUUAGCUAGUCGGUAAGGUAACGGCUUACCAAGGCAACGAUGCAUAGCCGACCUGAGAGGGUGAUCGGCCACACUGGAACUGAGACACGGUCCAGACUCCUACGGGAGGCAGCAGUAGGGAAUCUUCCGCAAUGGGCGAAAGCCUGACGGAGCAACGCCGCGUGAGUGAUGAAGGUCUUCGGAUCGUAAAACUCUGUUAUUAGGGAAGAACAUAUGUGUAAGUAGCUGUGCACAUCUUGACGGUACCUAAUCAGAAAGCCCCGGCUAACUACGUG